rfam:TPA: Bos taurus chromosome 13, whole genome shotgun sequence.
UCCCUCAUAGCUCAGUUGGUAAAGAAUCUGCCUGCAAUGCAGGAGACCCAGGUUCGAUCCCUGGGUUGGGAA